UAGGGAAUCUUCGGCAAUGGACGAAAGUCUGACCGAGCAACGCCGCGUGAGUGAAGAAGGUUUUCGGAUCGUAAAACUCUGUUGUUAGAGAAGAACAAGGACGUUAGUAACUGAACGUCCCCUGACGGUAUCUAACCAGAAAGCCACGGCUAACUACGUGCCAGCAGCCGCGGUAAUACGUAGGUGGCAAGCGUUGUCCGGAUUUAUUGGGCGUAAAGCGAGCGCAGGCGGUUUCUUAAGUCUGAUGUGAAAGCCCCGGGCUCAACCGGGGAGGGUCAUUUGAAACUGGGAGACUUGAGUGCAGAAGAGGAGAGUGGAAUUCCAUGUGUAGCGGUGAAAUGCGUAGAUAUAUGGAGGAACACCAGUGGCGAAGGCGGCUCUCUGGUCUGUAACUGACGCUGAGGCUCGAAAGCGUGGGGAGCAAACAGG
rnacentral:rRNA from 1 species